rnacentral:rRNA from 1 species
UACGAAGGGGGCUAGCGUUGCUCGGAAUCACUGGGCGUAAAGCGCACGUAGGCGGAUUGUUAAGUCAGGGGUGAAAUCCUGGAGCUCAACUCCAGAACUGCCUUUGAUACUGGCGAUCUCGAGUCCGGGAGAGGUGAGUGGAACUGCGAGUGUAGAGGUGAAAUUCGUAGAUAUUCGCAAGAACACCAGUGGCGAAGGCGGCUCACUGGCCCGGUACUGACGCUGACGGUGCGAAAGCGUGGGGAGCAAACAGGG